rnacentral:rRNA from 1 species
UACGAAGGGGGCUAGCGUUGCUCGGAAUUACUGGGCGUAAAGCGCACGUAGGCGGCUUGUUAAGUCAGGGGUGAAAUCCUGGAGCUCAACUCCAGAACUGCCUUUGAUACUGGCGAGCUUGAGUUCGGGAGAGGUGAGUGGAACUGCGAGUGUAGAGGUGAAAUGCGUAGAGACCCGGAGGAACACCAGUGGCGAAGGCGGCUUCCUGGUCUGCAACUGACGCUGUGGCGCGAAAGCUAGGGGAGCAAACGGG